CGGCACGGGUGAGUAACACGUAUCCAACCUGCCGUCUACUCUUGGACAGCCUUCUGAAAGGAAGAUUAAUACAAGAUGGCAUCAUGAGUCCGCAUGUUCACAUGAUUAAAGGUAUUCCGGUAGACGAUGGGGAUGCGUUCCAUUAGAUAGUAGGCGGGGUAACGGCCCACCCAGUCUUCGAUGGAUAGGGGUUCUGAGAGGAAGGUCCCCCACAUUGGAACUGAGACACGGUCCAA
rnacentral:rRNA from 1 species